ACCUGUGUGUGACAAUAAUAGCUGAUGAGUCAGGACAACGGGGCUUUGUGACACUUCCAUCCCUUGUGUUGAGUCACCGGCCGGGAUGGGAUGGGUCCAGCUGGGAAAGCAACAUGCAGGAUGUGCCUCAAGCACAGAGCCAAACAGCAGGUCCUUUGGUACGCCUGCCUAUGUGAUCGAAGGCAAAUGGAGAUGGUACAUGCAAGCCAGGCUGGCUGCAGGCCCUCAGGCCAUGUCUGGACCAUCACACUGCCCUAUGCAGGCUCAAGCUCCCCAACACAGGCAGUCUUUCAGAUGCCUUAUGCCUAGAGCCAGCUCAACCCACCAUGCCAUUUGCAGGAGCCAAUUACAGCCCAGGUCUCAGGGAGUGGAGAGGAAUGCACAGUCACAAACUGAAGCAGCGGUGUCUUGCUUGUCCCAGACUUCAAAUCUAAGAUUUUGGUCUCAAAGAGAGAGCAUUCUACCCAGCACUGCAACACCCAGGAGAGGCAGUAUUAAGAGAUUAGCGGAACAGCUCGGAGCACCAUCAAGGCAAGUUUUGCUGUACAAUUAUUUUUUCAUCAGUGUCCAGUGUGUCACUGGUAGGGCUGAAGGUGCUAGGCAGCCAGAUCAA